UUUUUAUGCUGGAGAGUUACCUCAAAGGAGUAUAAUUUUCUCUCUUUAGUGUGGAAGUAUUUGUGCUCAUCUAAAAGAUUUUAUGCUUGCAGAACUGCAUUCCAUUGUCUACUUUUUUUGUGAAUAGGCAGACCCAGGUAAAGUAACUUAGUUUUAAAGGAACUAUAAAUCCUAAUUCCUUCAAAUCAAAUUCCUAAGACAUCCAAGUGUCCAAGAUGCUGUGAAAAGAGACACAAAAAUAAAGAAUAGAAGGUUAAUGUUUGCUACUGAUGGCUCUUGUCAUUGGAGGAUUAGCGCUGAUGCAGUGUUGUGACAAAAAAAUCAAUGAAUGAAAGUUUCUGCCACCUUUAAUUGUAAGAAGCUAAUGCUGAACUGAUCUGUUAAGGUUUCAUGGAGAAAGUUGACAAUGAGGGGAAAUAGUGGGUGAUAUUUUUUCAAAACAUGUUAACUGCUUUUACUUAUUUUGUCGUUUAAGGAUAGAAAGAUCAGAGAUGCUAGAAAUGGUUUCUAGAAUUGGGUGGCCCUUCAUCAGUGUUUUAUAGGUACUAUUUAAGCCAUCUUUGCUAAGGAGAAGCUCCUUUACUAUUAAUAUGCUGUCAUCUUUCAAAUCUCAUCAAGGCAGCACCAGAAUUUUUUCGCACAGAUUUCCUUUGACAUACAGCCUCAAUAAAUAUGGAAAUUACAGCUUAAAUCUCAUUUUUUUUUCUUGCAAAGCAGCACAGUGCCCAAAUUCAUUGAAUUUCAACUUUUAUUUUUUCUUAAUGUUGAAAGACAUAUAUGCAAAUUUUAUUAACAAUAUGCAUGGUUAAAUUUAGCUGUAAACUCCAGUCAGGGAUUUUUGCUUUGUUUAUUGUCCAAGUCAAUAUGUCUGUGGAGAAAACCUCCUGCUGUGCAGGAAUACACAGUCAGCUACUUGGAAAAGUGGAAAGUUUAAUUAUGAGAGUUUAUUCUGAAAAAAAGGUAAAACAAGCAUUGUUUUUUGGGUUGGGUUUUUUUAAUUAUGACUUCAGGUAGCAGAAGUACAACAUACACGGUUUAUUUUGACACAAACUGUUCUCAGAUAAACCAUUUGAUUUUUCUUUAACCUGGUCAUCUGCGUAACUGAGGAGUUCUGAAAGAGAGGUCAUGAAUAAAUGAUGCAUUUCUUAAACUUGCAAGGUAGAUAAUGACAUAAAUGAAGUAAAAUCCAAGUGUGAAGGAAAAAAAAAAGCAUGAACACAUGUAUUGCUGACAAUAUCUUCAUUAAAAUAUACUUUAUCCUAGGAAGAUAUUAGUGUCAGGUUGCCUGAAAGAUGCAAAUUUCCUUUGUUGCUCUCUCUUAAGUUGUUUUGAUUUUUUUCAUGGUAACAGUGAGGUACCUUUAUAAGAGUGGAAGGGUAAAUUAUUACUGGAGAAUAUGUGUUAUAAAUGAUAUCCAAAGAUAUUCUCAUGUUUAUAAUAGAAAGCUCUCCAAGACUGUAGUCACUGGAGUGGUUCCCGUGUGUUCAGUUUUCGUAAGUCACUUACAUAAAAUACAUUUUAUCUGGCUAUUUAUAAAACCCCCGCUGCUUGCAAAGAAGAUGUUUCUUCUGUCUAUCUAGAGUAUAUGUAAUACUGUAAUAAUCUGUAUUUCUCCCUGUAAUUCAGUGUAUAUUUCUCCUUUCUAAGCCUGUUCAAAUGUAAUAUGAAGAGUGUUUUCAUGAUAAUUUUACUAUGGAUGACAGUAACUAGCUUUAUUCUAAACCAAUAAAAUUUUUUACAAAAUUUGUUAUGGCUAAUAUUUGGGUUACAUGACUUUCAUCAGAUGUGAAAUCAUAUUCUUUUUUUCUUUGCAUCUGUGUAGGGACUGAUCCAUAACCUGGGCUAGUAGGUUCCCCAGCAAUACAAAUGGUACAUCAUAAUUGCGUGUGAAGAAAGGCUGGCAGCUUUACAGAGGAAAUCUCUGAACCUGUAGGCACUCCUACAUUUUUACUUGGUAAUAAGAACUAGUAUUACUCUGGUGGACAGUGUAAGCUGGAGGAAACAAUAGAUAUGAUGUAGAAGAUAACUAUCAGCUCCAGAGAGAAGCC